rnacentral:rRNA from 1 species
CGGAGGGUGCAAGCGUUAUCCGGAUUACUGGGUUUAAAGGGUACGUAGGUGGGUUGGUAAGUCAGUGGUGAAAUCUUCGAGCUUAACUCGGAAACUGCCAUUGAUACUAUCAAUCUUGAAUUAUCUGGAGGUAAGCGGAAUAUGUCAUGUAGCGGUGAAAUGCUUAGAUAUGACAUAGAACACCCAUUGCGAAGGCAGCUUACUACGGAUACAUUGACACUGAGGCACGAAAGCGUGGGGAUCAAACAGGAUUAGAUACCCUGGUAGUCCACGCCCUAAACGAUGGAUACUCGACAUCAGCGAUACACUGUUGGUGUCUGAGCGAAAGCAUUAAGUAUCCCACCUGGGAAGUACGAUCGCAAGAUUG